rnacentral:rRNA from 1 species
AGUGAACGCUGGCGGUAGGCCUAACACAUGCAAGUCGAGCGGCAGCACAAGGGAGUUUACUCCUGAGGUGGCGAGCGGCGGACGGGUGAGUAAUGCCUAGGGAUCUGCCCAGUCGAGGGGGAUAACAGUUGGAAACGACUGCUAAUACCGCAUACGCCCUACGGGGGAAAGAGGGGGACCUUCGGGCCUCUCGCGAUUGGAUGAACCUGGGUGGGAUUAGCUAGUUGGUGAGGUAAUGGCUCACCAAGGCGACGAUCCCUAGCUGUUCUGAGGGGAUGAUCAGCCACACUGGGACUGGGGCAAGGCCCAGACUCCUACGGGAGGAAGCAGUGGGGAAUAUUGCACAAUGGGGGAAACCCUGAUGCAGCCAUGCCGCGUGUGUGAAGAAGGCCUUCGGGUUGUAAAGCACUUUCAGUAGGGAGGAAAGGGUGAGUCUUAAUACGGCUCAUCUGUGACGUUACCUACAGAAGAAGGACCGGCUAACUCCGUGCCAGCCGCCGCAGUAACAC